rnacentral:rRNA from 1 species
AGCACGGGAGCAAUCCUGGUGGCGAGUGGCGAACGGGUGAGUAAUAUAUCGGAACGUGCCCAGUCGUGGGGGAUAACGCAGCGAAAGCUGUGCUAAUACCGCAUACGAUCUCUGGAUGAAAGCGGGGGACUCGCAAGGGCCUCGCGCGAUUGGAGCGGCCGAUAUCAGAUUAGCUAGUUGGUGGGGUAAAGGCCCACCAAGGCGACGAUCUGUAGCUGGUCUGAGAGGACGACCAGCCACACUGGAACUGAGACACGGUCCAGACUCCUACGGGAGGCAGCAGUGGGGAAUUUUGGACAAUGGGCGCAAGCCUGAUCCAGCAAUGCCGCGUGCAGGAUGAAGGCCUUCGGGUUGUAAACUGCUUUUGUACGGAACGAAACGGUCUGCCUUAAUACGGUGGGCUAAUGACGGUACCGUAAGAAUAAGCACCGGCUAACUACGUGCCAGCAGCCGCGGUAAUACGUAGGGUGCGAGCGUUAAUCGGAAUUACUGGGCGUAAAGCGUGCGCAGGCGGUUAUAUAAGACAGAUGUGAAAUCCCCGGGCUCAACCUGGGACCUGCAUUUGUGACUGUAUAGCUAGAGUACGGUAGAGGGGGAUGGAAUUCCGCGUGUAGCAGUGAAAUGCGUAGAUAUGCGGAGGAACACCGAUGGCGAAGGCAAUCCCCUGGACCUGUACUGACGCUCAUGCACGAAAGCGUGGGGAGCAAACAGGAUUAGAUACCCUGGUAGUCCACGCCCUAAACGAUGUCAACUGGUUGUUGGGUCUUCACUGACUCAGUAACGAAGCUAACGCGUGAAGUUGACCGCCUGGGGAG